rnacentral:rRNA from 1 species
UGGGGAAUCUUGCGCAAUGGACGAAAGUCUGACGCAGCGACGCCGCAUGAGUGAUGAAGGCCUUCGGGUUGUAAAGCUCUGUGGAGAGGGACGAAUAAGUCGUGGCUAACAUCCACGAUGAUGACGGUACCUCUUUAGCAAGCACCGGCUAACUCUGUGCCAGCAGCCGCGGUAAGACAGAGGGUGCAAACGUUGUUCGGAAUUACUGGGCGUAAAGCGCGUGUAGGCAGUUUCGCAAGUCGGGUGUGAAAGCCCUGGGCUCAACCUAGGAAGUGCACUCGAAACUGCGAGACUUGAGUCCUGGAGAGGAAGGCGGAAUUCUCGGUGUAGAGGUGAAAUUCGUAGAUAUCGAGAGGAACACCGGUGGCGAAGGCGGCCUUCUGGACAGUGACUGACGCUGAGACGCGAAAGCGUGGGGAGCAAACAG